AAGAGAGGUACAAAAACCCCUCUAUGACCAAUACCCUAACCAUCUCUCUAUUACCCCUGUUAGCGGAACAAAAUAACCACCUCCACAAUUUCAUCCUCUAGCCACAGACUCUACCAUGUCCCGGCUUCAGAGUAAGGAGGGGCCACAUGAGAAAAGAAAAAGAAAGGGCUGUCGAAAAUGUAGCAGGCAGAAGGUCUUCCUUUUUGAGACACUAACUGAGAGAAGGAUUAACGAGGGGAAAGCCGAGUUUAAAGUGGUUGCCCUGCUCCAUGUGGUAAAAUCAAUAUUACAUUUA